GGGAGGAAGGCUGAGAAGGCGUCCCAGCCCCGAGUCCCUCAGCCCACACGGCGCCCAUCACUCCCCCAUGCCCUCCCUGGGGCCCAAGGCUUGGGGGUGGGAAAAGCACCUGGAACACAUCCCACGCUGUUUCCCAGGGAAGGGACCCUGCUCCCUGAUUCAUGGACGGGAACCCUGCCCAGCCGCCCACCCCCGCCAGGACGUUCCGGCUGCACAGCACAUUUCACAGGCAUCUGGAUCAAAUAACUGGCUGAUAGUGAGUAUAAAUUAGAGACGGAACUCUCCAGAAGGCAGAGCCACCGCAAUUCAUUCCAAUGUGAUGCAUGCAGGGGGGCUGUGGCUCCCUGAAAUUCAAAGUCAGCCCAGAAAGAAAGGGCGUGACGCUAUCCACACAAGUGUGAUCCCCAUGGCCUCACAGCUGUGCCUGUGAGGGAGGAGUGAGUGGGAGAGGUCACGACGGGCCAGCACACCUCAUAGUGCCAGGGUGGUGGGAUGGGGGACCUGCCUGCAGAGUACAGCUGAGCCAGCGCCCCGAACUCUUGCUGUGGCAAGGCCCUGAGCCAACCCCUAAGUGUCUGCUGGCCCUGUAGCCAGGCAGGCAUGGCUUUUGAUCUGCCACCUUUUCGCUGUGUGACUUCAUUGAGUCUCUUACCUUCUCUGGGCUUCCAUUUCCUCAUCAGCUGCUUGUGAGAAUGGAGCAGAGACUGCACAGAAGCCCUGGUGCGGGCAGUGAGGGGAGGGCAGCUCACGGGGAAGGUCCAGAACAUCAGGGACAGGGAAGACACAGUGGCCUGGUGGUGGCCACAGGAAGGCUGGAGGAAGGAGAGUGGGGCACCCAUUGGUGCAGGAGCAGGUUGGGAGCCAGGCGUGGCAGGGCCAGGUGGGAUGGGGGACUCUAAACAAAGCAGCCAGGGGGUGGGUGGGGAGCCUGACAGUGGGGUGCUGCGGAAGGACACACCUCCCUCAGACCAGGACCCCGGCCCUGUUCUCCAGCCUGUGUCUCCACCAGGGUUGAUGGUGGCCCCCCGGGUCCAGGGCAUGCUGCUGCAUCCACAGCCCCUCAGGGCAGCUGGGCGCAGGGUCUGCAGGCUGGCUGGCCUCCUUUCCUCCAGGCCCACCUGCUGGCAUCCCUGCAGGCGCCCGGCCGGGGUGGCGGGUCUCCCUGGAAGGUGGAAGCUCAGGGCUGGGUCCCCGAGGGCUGUUCUCAGGCUCCGCUGUCUGCAGACACACGCCUUACACAUCCCGGCCCAGACGUCCUCCCAUGGGGCCGGGGCUCGGGGGCGUGCUCUUAAGUUAUGGUCGAGGCUCCGAGUCACCUGACAGCAGGCUGUGUCUUCGCCUAACCGCACUGGGUCUUGUGGUAACACAUUUCAGCGUCUCAUUUCUGUGAUCAACGUGGUGAUUGAAUAUUUCCUUGGGCUCCUUAAGGUGUUUUGUAUUUUUUCUGUUCUUCUCCUUUGCCACUCUUCCCCUGGGUUCUUGCUUUCUUCUUGCUGAUUUGUGGGAGUUCUUUGCAUGCGAUGGAUCAGUACUUGUGUUCACCUUGCAGAUUUUCGUUCCCUGUCUGUUGCUUAACAUUCUCUUUCUAAUGGUGCUUUUUUCAUCACACAGAAGUCCUCAAAUUUUAUGUAGUCAAACUUGUCAAUUGUUCCCUUUAAGGCUUGGAUUUUGCAUCUUGCUUGUCUUGCUGAGAAUGUGCACAUAAUCUCUUGUAUUUUCUUCCAGUGCUUUUAUAAUUAUGCUUUUUGCCUUUAAUCUUAGUCUAUUUUUGGAUAUGGGGUGAGACAGAGUGGAACCACUUCUCCACAUUAAAUCUUAGCUACCACGAGCCCUGAAGGACACAAAUUAUAGCGUAGGGGCUGGAGCUGGGCCUUCUGGGCUGGAAGCCAUGCCCGGCCCCUCACGGUUGGGGGUGCUGGCCAGUUGCUGAGCCUGUCUGAGCCUCAGUUUCCUCUUCUCCAGAAGGUUUGCAUGCAGAUUAAACAAGCACCUUUGUGUGAACAACACAGGUCUGAUGGAGCCUAUGUCGGGUCCUGGAGGUCUGCGAAGCCUGCAAGCAAUUCCCAGGCCCUGGGGUCCCCACCUCUUCCUGCUUCUUCUGGAAGAGAGGGGGGUGGGGUAGGGCCAGGGGUCGGGGAGAAAACCUGCGGCCUCCACAUAUCUCAGCCAGAGUGAGACCGACACUGCACACAACAGGCCCCUCGCCCUGGCGACCCCAGCACAGAGACUGCCUGCCAGGCUGCUGGGGCAUCUGAGGAGGAAACAGUCACAGUGUGGUCAUGCCAGCCAGACUUCGACAAGCCCAGAGAGGCUCCGAAAGCUGGAAAUGACGCCCCCACUGCCUGGAACAUCGUCAGGUCGGCCUGGGCCACUGAGGGACAGAGCUCAACCAGGAGGCAGGAGCCACAGCUGACACCGCACGCCAACCUCGGUGGGUCCCUUCCUUGAGCCUCUGCUCAUCUGAAAGAGGGAGGGAUGUGCUGGCCGCCCACUGGGUCCUCAAGAGAUUCUUGCCUUGAGGAUGGCAGUUGAAGGUGGCCCUCUGCCACUUGGUCACCCAGCAGCCCUGCCCAUCCCCACGGCUGAAGGAUGAGAGUAGCACAGGCUCCCUGACGAGUGUCCGAAGUCCAGAAAUGGGCUCAACGUGGUCAGUGCUGGGAGGGUCUGCAGCAACAGCCGCGCUGCCAGGACCUGGUAGCCAGGCACGUAAAGAAGCACACAGCUCGUAGAAUUCUACAGAAGGAGACGACUAUUGAGUUUCCUCCUUUUCAAAGUGAGUGCCUCACAUUUCCAGCUUUGUUGAUUUUUGCGAGACUUCGGGCCCAGACGGGCUUCCCCUGCUCCUCCUGCAGGUGGAUGUUGCUGAGCUGAGCAUGGUUGCAACACUUUCCUGUGAAAUGAACUGAAACAGAAGUUGAUGUCUUCCUCAUAUGAGAAAUACAUAAAUCAGUUAAAAAUA